rnacentral:lncRNA from 1 species
CUGGCCUUAGUUUCUAUAUAGAGUCUGAUCUUUCUGAUGGAGAAUCGAUAUCAAUUGAUGAUUUCAGAGAUCAGACUGCUGUGGUGCAUCAUUUGCCACAGAUUAAGAAUAGCAUUCAAGAAGUUAUGUUUUUCUGUUAAUGAUAUUAUAAGAUUUUUGUUGUCAUAAGAGAUUAUUGGUCAAAUUUUUUUGAGAUGGUUUAGAAGUAAAUGACAUAAUUUAGUCCAUCGAAUAGUUAAUAAAUUUUUAUUCUUUAUAGUUAGA